GGAUAGCUCAGUUGGUCAGAGCAUGGUGCUGAUAAUGCCACAGUCACAGGUUCAAUUUGCACAUGGGACAGCUGCA